rnacentral:rRNA from 1 species
UGGGCCUAAAACGUCCGUAGCCGGUUUGGUACAUUCGUGGGUAAAUCAACUNGCUCAANGAGUUGAAUUNUGCGAGGACGGCCAGACUAGGGACCGGGAGAGGUGUGGGGAACUCUCAGGGUAGGGGUAAAAUCCUGUCAUCCUGAGAGGACCACCUGUUGCGAAGGCGCCACACUAGAACGGAUCCGACGGUCAGGGACGAAGCCUAGGGGCACGAACCGGAUUAGAUACCCGGGUAGUCCUAGGUGUAAACGCUGUGGACUUGGUGUUGGGGANNNNUAGAGCUUUCCCAGUGCCGUAGCGAAGGUGNUGAGUCCACUGCCUGGGGAGUACGGUCGCAAGGCUGAAACUUAAAGGAAUUGGCGGGGGAGCACUGCAACCGGAGGAUUGUGCGGUUUAAUUGGANUCAAC